UGACUCUCGGCAACGGAUAUCUCGGCUCUCGCAUCGAUGAAGAACGUAGCGAAAUGCGAUACUUGGUGUGAAUUGCAGAAUCCCGUGAACCAUCGAGUUUUUGAACGCAAGUUGCGCCCGAAGCCGUUAGGCUAAGGGCACGUUUGCCUGGGCGUCGUAU
rnacentral:rRNA from 1 species